CAAUAGCGUAUAUUAAAGUUGUUGCGGUUAAAAGCUCGUAGUUGGAUUUCUGUUGAGAACAGCCGGUCCGCAUUUUGUGCGUGCAUCUGGUUUGAACUCGGCAUCCUUUCCAGGAACGUAUCUGCGAUUCAGUUCGUGGUGCGGUACUGGAAACUUUUACUUUGAGGAAAUUAGAGUGUUCACGGCAGGCAAUCGCCUUGAAUAUAUUAGCAUGGAAUAAUAAUAUAGGAUCUUGGGUCUAUUUUGUUGGUUUCUAGAGCUAAGAUAAUGAUUAAUAGGGACAAUUGGGGGCAUUCGUAUUAACACGUCAGAGGUGGAAUUCUUAGAUUGUGUUACGACGAACUACUGCGAAAGCAUUUGCCAAGGAUGUUUUCAUUGAUCAAGAACGAAAGUGAGGGGAUCGAAGAUGAUUAGAUACCAU
rnacentral:rRNA from 1 species